AUUGAACGCUGGCGGAAUGCUUUACACAUGCAAGUCGAACGGCAACACGGGGGCAGCCCUGGUGGCGAGUGGCGAACGGGUGAGUAAUACAUCGGAACGUGCCCGGUCGUGGGGGAUAACGUAGCGAAAGUUACGCUAAUACCGCAUACGAUCUGAGGAUGAAAGCGGGGGACCUUCGGGCCUCGCGCGAUCGGAGCGGCCGAUGUCAGAUUAGGUAGUUGGUGGGGUAAAGGCCUACCAAGCCGACGAUCUGUAGCUGGUCUGAGAGGACGACCAGCCACACUGGGACUGAGACACGGCCCAGACUCCUACGGGAGGCAGCAGUGGGGAAUUUUGGACAAUGGGCGCAAGCCUGAUCCAGCCAUUCCGCGUGCAGGACGAAGGCCUUCGGGUUGUAAACUGCUUUUGUACGGAACGAAAAGGCUCUGGCUAAUACCUGGGGCUCAUGACGGUACCGUAAGAAUAAGCACCGGCUAACUACGUG
rnacentral:rRNA from 1 species